rnacentral:lncRNA from 1 species
ACAGUAGAGAGCAAUCAGGGUGCUGUAAGCUCAUGCUCUCCUUUAGUGGGACACAGCUCCCUCGGAUAUCAGACACAAACAAGCUCUAUGUCUUCCUGUGUGUGGUUAUAUGGCUAGAAACAGGCACUUUAAGGCAAUGUCCUGGAAUAGUAUCAUCGUUGUCAUUUCUGUAGAUUACCAUACUAGUGACAAUUUCUCAAGGCAGUAUUUUUAAGGCUUUUGUGUUUGACCCUUUUUCUGCAUCUCAACUUCUAGAAAAAUAUAUCUGUCAUCUGGACAAAGGAGUGAGCCUUUCUCAGAGGAAGAGGUUGAUCGCUGCUUUCUGUUGUGCAGUCGUUGUUAGACAUGAUACGGAUACUGGCCUGAGCUGCAAUGGUUGGGGACAGAUCCCAAAAGAUUGUCUCCAUCCAUUGGAUACUGCUAAGAAGAUCAUUAGGAACAAACUGGAACUGUCAUAACACCAGCAAAACGACGUGUUUCGGGAUACUUCAAAUCAGAAGCGCUUUC